rnacentral:rRNA from 1 species
AACCUGGUUGAUCCUGCCAGUAGUCAUAUGCUUGUCUCAAAGAUUAAGCCAUGCAUGUCUAAGUACAAGCCAAACUAAGGUGAAACCGCGGAUGGCUCAUUAAAUCACACCUAAUCUACUGGAAUGUUAGUCGGUUACUUGGAUAACUGAGGUAAUUCUUGAGCUAAUACAUGCGAAAAAAUCUCGACGCAAGAAGAGAUGCUUUUAUUAGAUCAAAACCAAACGGGCCGGUCGUUCUUGCAAAAGGCGGCCGUGACUGUUAAACACUUUUGAUGACUCUGAAUAACCUUGGGCUGAUCGCAUUGCCUUGUGCAGGCGACGUUUCCUUCGAAGGUGUGCCCUAUCAACUGUCGACUGUGGCAUAGACGCCCACAGUGGUUUUGACGGGUAACGGGGAAUCAGGGUUCGAUUCCGGAGAGGGAGCCUUAAAAACGGCUACCACAUCUAAGGAAGGCAGCAGGCACGCAAAUUACCCAAUGACCGAAGGUCGAGGUAGUGACGAAAAAUAACGAUAGCGGACUCAUCCGAGGCCCGCUAAUUGGAAUGAGUACACUUUAAAACCGUCCCCGAGGAUCUAUUGGAGGGCAAGUCUGGUG